rnacentral:rRNA from 1 species
AACGAACGCUGGCGGCAGGCUUAACACAUGCAAGUCGAACGAUAUAGUGGCAGACGGGUGAGUAACGCGUGGGAACGUGCCUUUCACUAAGGAAUAGCUCUUGGAAACGAGUGGUAAUACCUUAUACGCCCUUAGGGGGAAAGAUUUAUCGGUGAAAGAUCGGCCCGCGUUAGAUUAGCUAGUUGGUAAGGUAAGAGCUUACCAAGGCUACAAUCUAUAGCUGGUCUGAGAGGACGACCAGCCACACUGGGACUGAGACACGGCCCAGACUCCUACGGGAGGCAGCAGUGGGGAAUAUUGCACAAUGGGCGAAAGCCUGAUGCAGCCAUGCCGCGUGAAUGAUGAAGGCCUUAGGGUUGUAAAAUUCUUUCGCUAGGGAUGAUAAUGACAGUACCUAGUAAAGAAGCCCCGGCUAACUUCG